rnacentral:rRNA from 1 species
GAUGAACGCUGGCGGCGUGCCUAAUACAUGCAAGUCGAGCGAACGGACGAGAAGCUUGCUUCUCUGAUGUUAGCGGCGGACGGGUGAGUAACACGCGGAUAACCUACCUAUAAGACUGGGAUAACUUCGGGAAACCGGAGCUAAUACCGGAUAAUAUUUUGAACCGCAUGGUUCAAAAGUGAAAGACGGUCUUGCUGUCACUUAUAGAUGGAUCCGCGCUGCAUUAGCUAGUUGGUAAGGUAACGGCUUACCAAGGCAACGAUGCAUAGCCGACCUGAGAGGGUGAUCGGCCACACUGGAACUGAGACACGGUCCAGACUCCUACGGGAGGCAGCAGUAGGGAAUCUUCCGCAAUGGGCGAAAGCCUGACGGAGCAACGCCGCGUGAGUGAUGAAGGUCUUCGGAUCGUAAAACUCUGUUAUUAGGGAAGAACAUAUGUGUAAGUAACUGUGCACAUCUUGACGGUACCUGAUCAGAAAGCCACGGCUAACUACGUG